rnacentral:rRNA from 1 species
UACGAAGGGUGCAAACGUUGCUCGGAAUUAUUGGGCGUAAAGCGUGCGCAGGCGGUUUGCUAAGACCGAUGUGAAAUCCCCGGGCUUAACCUGGGAACUGCAUUGGUGACUGGCAGGCUAGAGUAUGGCGAGAGGGGGGUAGAAUUCCACGUGUAGCAGUGAAAUGCGUAGAGAUGUGGAGGAAUACCGAUGGCGAAGGCAGCCCCCUGGGCCAAUACUGACGCUCAUGCACGAAAGCGUGGGGAGCAAACAGG